rnacentral:rRNA from 1 species
GGAGUUAGCCGGUGCUUCUUCUGUGAGUGAUGUCCUUCCUGCCGGUUAUUGACCCGCAGGCCUUCUUCCUCACUGAAAGUGCUUUACAACCCGAAGGCCUUCUUCACACACGCGGCAUGGCUGGAUCAGGGUUGCCCCCAUUGUCCAAUAUUCCCCACUGCUGCCUCCCGUAGGAGUCUGGGCCGUGUCUCAGUACCAGUGUGGCUGAUCAUCCUCUCAGACCAGCUACGGAUCGUCGCCUUGGUGAGCCGUUACCUCACCAACCAGCUAAUCCGACAUAGGCUCAUCCGAUAGCGCGAGGCCCGAAGGUCCCCCGCUUUCCCCCGUAGGGCGUAUGCGGUAUUAGCCUGGGUUUCCCCAGGUUAUCCCCCACUACCGGGCAGAUUCCUAUGCAUUACUCACCCGUCCGCCGCUCGCCACCAGGGAGCAAGCUCCCCGUGCUGCCGCUCGACUUGCAUGUGUUAGGCCUGCCGCCAGCGUUCAAUCUGAACCAAGAUCAAAUUCUGA